UACGAAGGGUGCAAGCGUUACUCGGAAUUACUGGGCGUAAAGCGUGCGUAGGUGGUUGUUUAAGUCUGUUGUGAAAGCCCUGGGCUCAACCUGGGAACUGCAGUGGAAACUGGACAACUAGAGUGUGGUAGAGGGUAGCGGAAUUCCCGGUGUAGCGGUGGAAUGCGUAGAGAUCGGGAAGAACAUCAGUGGCGAAGGCGGCCCGCUGGGCUGUUGCUGACGCUGAGGCGCGACAGCGUGGGGAGCAAACAGG
rnacentral:rRNA from 1 species